rnacentral:rRNA from 1 species
CUACGGGGCGCUCCAGUGAGGAAUAUUGCACAAUGGGGGGAACCCUGAUGCAGCAACGCCGCGUGGAGGAUGACGCAUUUCGGUGUGUAAACUCCUUUUAUAUGUCAAGAAAAUGACGGUAGCAUAUGAAUAAGCACCGGCUAACUCCGUGCCAGCAGCCGCGGUAAUACGGAGGGUGCAAGCGUUACUCGGAAUCACUGGGCGUAAAGGACGCGUAGGCGGGGUGGAAAGUCAGGUGUGAAAUCCUACAGCUUAACUGUAGAACUGCACUUGAAACUUCUAAUCUAGAGUAUGGGAGGGGGAGAUGGAAUUAGUGGUGUAGGGGUAAAAUCCGUAGAUAUCACUAGGAAUACCUAAAGCGAAGGCGAUCUCCUGGAACAUUACUGACGCUAAGGCGUGAAAGCGUGGGGAGCAAACAGGAUUAGAUACCCGAGUAGUC